CUUCCCGUUCCCAUUUAUUUCGUUGUAUACAGUGUUAUUUACUUGUGCUAGCGUCUCGAUUUUACAAACGUGGACGCGCGUGAUUCUAUCGAGAGCGUGUUUAUCCUAUAAACGGCAACUAAUAGCCACGCUAUAUUUCUUGGCGUCGAUUCGAUCGCGAGUUAACGUCUAUUACCGCGUUGCCUGUACCGCCGCAGUUAAAUGUGUAAGCACCUUUUCGAAAAGGACAUUUCGCAGCCUACUGACUACGCUCACCGUGUUUCGCGGCUUCCCUUGUGCUUCUGGAGAGCCAACGAAAAGCUCCGACGGGUUUCUCAUGCGAGAAAAGUCAACGUUUUUCCAGCGGUCAAUACGAGAAGCUAACUGGCGACCGGGUGUCGGAAGUUAAAGCGAAUUCAAUUUUCCAACGCCUGGCUCCAAGGAAGGGAUUUAAACUGUAUCCAGCCGAUAAAUACACAACCAUACGUGCGAGGUACGUGCUUCGAGGCAUCCUUUUGCGAAUCCUUUGUCCGCCCAAGAUUUUCUCAUUAGCAGCCCGGCUACUAAUUUAUUCGUACACGAGGAGCAAUCACGGAGGAGGAAACGGUUAGUCAUCGUUCAACGAUCCCCUCCCCCUCUCUCUCUCUCUCGUUUGAAUGGGACGAGACGAGUCAGCAUCGAGUAGCAAGAGUAUCGAGAACGUUGCAUACAAUUAAGGAACAAUCACACAGGCAUGCAUUGAAAUAACGAUCGAAGAUCGAGGGAGAGAAUCGGGAUUUGAACCGUUAAUCGUUUUUAGUGUACCGCUUCAACGAGCCGCACGAAGCGAAACACGGAUCGAGGGGGAGGGAAGGAGUAAGGAAUAAGGCGGGAGAAAGAGAGAGAGAGAGAGAGAGAGAAGGGAGGGAGAAGAGGAAUUCUUGGCUGGUUCGAGUCGAACAACGUGUAGCGGAUCUUCCACGCAGGUAUACAAGCCCGUUCCAGGAGAUACCGUAAGACCUUGCUGUUACGUCACUAGAAGCCACGUGAUUAGGAGAAAAAGGAUACCGGCGAGAAGGGAGACGAGAAAACGGAAACUCUGCCCUCGGGCUGAAGAACACGCUUCGUGCCGCUCCGUUCUUCGAAAUUUGUAAAUGUAUAAUUUCUUUCUUAAUCUUUCUUUUUUCUUUCCUCUUCAGUUUCUUAUUUUUGUUACGUAAAUUUGAAAUUUGAAAUUAGAUUCAUUUUUUAUCUUUCGAGAGUGUUUAACUUUCUAAAUUUAGAAAUUCGAAGAUGCUUGAUAUUCUCUUAAUCCUUUUUCUUUUCUUUUUAUUUUCGAAUUUUAAUCUUUGAGGUUUAAUUGAAGUUAAAAAAUUCGAAAAUGAAACGUUAGAUUAUUUUCCCUUUUCCCAUUGUUGAAUUGCUUUAUAUUUUUGGAAUUGAAGGAUACUAUAUUUGAAGAUGCAAUGUUUAUUUAGCUUUUUUUGAAUACUAUUCUGUUUUCGAAAUUUGAUUGAAUUGCAAAAAUUUAUAAAUGCAACGCUCCUUUAAUCUUUCCCCCUUUCGUUAAUUUUUUUUCCUCUUUUAAUCAAUCCUUCCCUUUCCUAAAUUUCAAAACAGUUGAAACAGUUUGGAAAAAUAUAAUUUUAAAAUUCUCCUUUUAAGCUGAAAAUUUGUUUAGCGUCAAUUUAAGUGGAGUUGGAGCUUUUUUAAUAUAAAAUAAUUGCAAUUAACGGAACAGUGGUUCCAACCAUUUUCAGAAUCAGGGCACAAGGGUCGAAAAUGAUUAUCCAGCUGUUCCAUGCUGAAACGUUUCUAAAAUAAGAGACGCAUGUGUGAAGUUAUAAUUACGUGUCUGUAGAGGUUACCAGUAAAUUUAGAUGUGCAAAGUGGGCUAAACGAUCUCAAGUUGAGCUCUACGUUUAAAUAAAUCUAUCUGUAUAAAUUGUAACGAUAUUCAUAUAUCAAUUUUACGAACAAUUUUCAUUUGAAUAAAAUAUUCUGUUACAGCCUU
rnacentral:lncRNA from 1 species